UUAUACAAAUAUAAAUAAAUAUAUAUAUAUAUAUGAGUGUAUGUUUGUGUGUAUGUGUAUGUGUGUGUGCGUGUGCUUAUUUUUUUUAAAUUUAUAAUAAUUUUAUCGACAGAAAAUUAAUCGUUACUAUGUAUUCGAAGUUAAAAAGAAAAAAACUUUUUCAGUUACAACAUACGCGUGAUAUGAUAUUUUUAUUAAAAUAAAAAAAAAAAAAAAAAAAAAAAAAAAGAAGAUCCGAUCGUAGAGAGUUAAAUAAUAUAUAUAUAUAUAUAUAAAAGAAAAAAAAAUAAUUAUAAUAAUAAAAAGAAAGAAAUCAUCGGAAUAUUCCCUCGUUCGUUUCAAAUUAAAUUUAGCGACGAUCGAACGAACGUUGUAAACUCAAAGAAACGUUCUUGCUAGAUGUCGUUAAAGAUAAUAACGCGUAAUAUCUAUACGUAUGUAUGAUCGAAGCGAAAGGAAUGAACGAUCGAUCGAUCGAUUGGUCGAUGUUGUCCUUCGAUGCAACGAAAUAAAUACAUAUAUACAUACACGUAUACGUACAUGCACAUAUACACAUUUCAAGUUAUAAAAUACUUUCGAGAAAAAUUAUGCGACGAAUAAUAAUAGAUCGUUCGAUAAUGAUAUAUCGUUAAAAAGGUAUGCAAGAAUAAAAAUCAGACAGACAGAUAGGCAGACAGAAGCAAACAGAAAGAGAGAGAGAAAGAGAGAAAAAAAUAUUCGAGUAAACAAAUGAUUUUCAAUCUCCUUACCUUCGAGGAUCGAUAUUUCUUCUUUAUUUUCUAAUCUCUUCUUAUCUAUCGUCUUCGACAAUACCGUUUAGAAACGUUUGACUCGCGUAAUAAAGAGGACGUACGGACUGGCGGAGUGUUAGGAGAAGGAGGUGGAUAGAGGGAUAGAUAGAUAGAUAGACAGAGAGAGAGAGAGAGAGAGAGAGAGAGAGAGAGAGAGAGAAAGAUAGAGGAGCAAGCGAAAGGAGAGAGAGAGAGAGAUAGAAAGAGAAAAAGAAACGGAAAGAAAAAAGAGUCAGCAAAAAUCUUGAUUGUUGAUAUAUUGGAAAAUAAUGAGUUGUCAAGGAGAGGGGGUGGAAACAGUAGGAGAUAUCUCGCGUAUGGAAAAUCGAUCGGACUCCGAACGAUUCGAGACUCGAACGCUAACUGACGAGCUCCUACUUGGCCAGGUUCACGUUUACCUGCUGCACGAUGAUCAGGAGCGCGACUCUGCGAGAACGCUUUGGGAGAACGAACAGCAAAAGUAAGCAAGCAAGCAAGCAAGCAAGCAAAGCAAGCAAGCAAGCAAGCAAGCAAGCAACGUGUGCGAGAGAAGCGAGGCCGAGAAAGCGGAAGAGAGACAGAGAAAGAGACAGACAGAGAGAGACAGAGAGAGAGAGAGAGAGAGAGAGUGAGAGGAGGAAGAAAGAAUCAAGGGGGGUCUCUCAAAACGAAAGAGGAAGGAGGAUGAGGCUGAUGAUGAUGAGGAGGAGGAGGUGGAGGAGGAGGUGAAGGAGGAGGAGAGGGGUUGGUCAGGGCGAGAGAGGGACAACUUGGAACAGGUGAGAGGUUUUACCUGAUGGUGGGAUUGAAAGAUGGAAAAAGUGGGGGAAGAGAAGUUGUACAACGUUGCCAACUUGUGCUCGUCGAAAGAUAUCCCCAUCUAGGAUUCAUACGAGUUACGUGUGCGUAUACAAACGUGUGUUUUAUCUCUCUCUCUCUCUCUCUCUCUCUCUCUCUCUAUUUCUCUCUCUCUUUCUGUAUCUCUCUAUACCUCUCUUUGUCCCUGUUUGUCUUUUUCGAUCUCUCUCUCUCUCUCUCUCUCUCUCUCUCUCUCUUUGUUUUUCUCUUUCUAUCUCUUUCUCGUUCUAUCUAUACAUUCCAGUCCAUUGAUAUCGCAGUAAAAGACUUUCUCGAGAGAUUCCGUUCCAUCCAUCCGCAUGUAAAAAGGGGAAAUAUACGACGCGCCGAACAUUUAUUUUCAAACGAAUGGAGCUGUCUAGAUUUGUCUCUAUUUCCUGUGUUUUCUAAUGUCUCUCUAUAAAUGUGAACGUUCGUUUAAGAUAUACACUAUAACAGCCAACAACUCUCCCUCCCUGUUAUCCCCGGCAGCACUACAAUCGUUUACUCAUUGUCAGAAGCGAUGACGUUGUCUCGUUAAAAGGAAAAAAAAAAUAAGAAAGAAAAUAAGAAAAAAAAUAAAAAAAAAAAAGAAAGAAAGAAAGAAAGAAAGAAAAAACGUUAAGUGGUAGAAGCCCCCCAUUCAACCGGAGGAAAGUGUACUUAGGUACAUACAUACGUUGAAACGUUCGAAGUAAGAAUUGACAUUAUAGGGACGUGUCGAAGGCAGUGACCUCGAGACAGACAUUUUCUAAAAGAGAUCUAUGAAAAUAGGCGGGGGGAAAAAAAUCAAAAAGAAAAAGAACAAUAAAUGAAAGAGAGAAGAAAUGAAAAGAAAGAAAGAAAGAAAAAAGAAAAAAAAGAAAAAAAAAAAAGAAAGAAAAAACAUAUGGAAAUUAAAAUUAAAAAUUAAAAUGUACGAAAAUGAAAACGAACAGGAAUCGUUCGACGAAAGUAAAAUCGUCUUGCAGAUGCAAAUUUAUUACGUAACGAUUGUGGAGGCAGUGUUUCUCAA